rnacentral:sRNA from 1 species
CACAUCUAUUUGGCAUGAACAGCAUACCUAGGGCUAUGCAGUGGGUUGGGGAUAGAUCUGGGGUUAUUUCUGAGGAGGCCUCUGAGGUCAUAGGGAUGAUGGCUCAGGUUUAUUAAGCACUUUCUAUUUACCUACUACCAUGUAGUGUGGUGAUCUGGUGGGUUUCUGACAGCAGCCCUUGGUUCCUAGUCCUUACCUUUGCUUACUGCGGACCUGGUGUUGGCCUUGCCAGCCUUCCAAUGGUAACUCCAGAUGCCUGAUUGUGAAGGUAAAUGACAUUAUCAAGCACUUAUUGUAUAUCCACUGCUUCCCAUUCAGUAUCCCAAUAUCCCUAAAAGGUAAGGACUUAUCAAUCCAUCGCACACGCACUUGCCUAGCAACCCUUCGUGUCUGCCCACACUCUGGAGUCCCACAUGCCAUUCUUGUUAGCUCAUGCCAGGAUGGGAUGUGUGUGCUCUUCUCCACAGGUCCCCACGAUGGUCCCUGUGGUCCACAUGGGCCCCCUGUUCAGUGACGUGCUCUGAGGGCUCCCAGCUGCGGUACCGGCGCUGUGUGGGCUGGAAUGGGCAGUGCUCUGAAAAGGUGGCACCUGGGACCUUGGAGUGGCAGCUCCAGGCCUGUGAGGACCAGCAGUGCUGUCCUGAGAUGGGCGGCUGGUCUGGCUGGGGGCCCUGGGAGCCUUGCUCUGUCACCUGCUCCAAAGGGACCCGGACCCGCAAGCGAGCCUGUAAUCACCCUGCUCCCAAGUGUGGGGGCCACUGCCCAGGACAGGCACAGGAAUCAGAGGCCUGUGACACCCAGCAGGUCUGCCCCACACACGGGGCCUGGGCCACCUGGGGCCCCUGGACCCCCUGCUCAGCCUCCUGCCACGGUGGACCCCACGAACCUAAGGAGACACGAAGCCGCAAGUGUUCUGCACCUGAGCCCUCCCAGAAGCCUCCUGGGAAGCCCUGCCCGGGGCUAGCCUACGAGCACCGGAGGUGCACCGGCCUGCCACCCUGCCCAGUGGCUGGGGGCUGGGGGCCUUGGAGCCCUGUGAGCCCCUGCCCUGUGACCUGUGGCCUGGGCCAGACCAUGGAACAACGGACGUGCGAUCAACCUGUGCCCCAGCAUGGGGGCCCCUUCUGUGCUGGCGAUGCCACCCGGACCCACAUCUGCAACACAGCUGUGCCCUGCCCUGUGGAUGGAGAGUGGGACUCGUGGGGGGAGUGGAGCCCCUGUAUCCGACGGAACAUGAAGUCCAUCAGCUGUCAAGAAAUCCCGGGCCAGCAGUCACGCGGGAGGACCUGCAGGGGCCGCAAGUUUGACGGACAUCGAUGUGCCGGGCAACAGCAGGAUAUCCGGCACUGCUACAGCAUCCAGCACUGCCCCUUGAAAGGAUCAUGGUCAGAGUGGAGUACCUGGGGGCUGUGCAUGCCCCCCUGUGGACCUAAUCCUACCCGUGCCCGCCAGCGCCUCUGCACACCCUUGCUCCCCAAGUACCCGCCCACCGUUUCCAUGGUCGAAGGUCAGGGCGAGAAGAACGUGACCUUCUGGGGGAGACCGCUGCCACGGUGUGAGGAGCUACAAGGGCAGAAGCUGGUGGUGGAGGAGAAACGACCAUGUCUACACGUGCCUGCUUGCAAAGACCCUGAGGAAGAGGAACUCUAACACUUCUCUCCUCCACUCUGAGCCCCCUGACCUUCCAAACCUCAAUAAACUAGCCUCUUCGAGCUCGUCUACGAUUCCUUAAAGGAGGAAAAACAACCUAUCCCCUUCCCCAAAAGUAGGGUGAUAGCAUCUCAUAGGGCAAACAGCACAGCACGGGCCAAGACACAGCAGCCUGUUGCGGAAAACAGUAUUUUCCACUGUGGUCGCAGGUUGGCAGGAGUGAAAGCGAGUGUGCAGUCCCAGCCUCUCCCCGCCGCUGCCAUAACCCCAAUGUCUGGGUCCGCGCAGCCCCCUUAGAGCCUCAGGGCCGCCCGGCACGUUCCUCUGCAGAGCUCCGCGUUACGGGUUUCCUGAUUGGCUACUUGUCCUGGCAGGCACUUCUUGAUUGGCCGGCGUGCUUGUUCGUUGUCUCCCCGUCUCCUGGACCUCCCUAGAUUCCCACCAGCCGGAACCUUGGAGGAGCCUCUGCCGGCCGACUCCGACUCCGCGUCAGUCGAGGAUGAACGGCAGAGGCGUGGCCGAGGCUGGCACCCUGCCGCCCGAGCACCUGCACCCACCCACUCCCGACAGCCCAGCUCCAGUGCCACAAUUACCAGCGACAAAUAGCUUGGCGAGGCGGGGGGCGGGCCGAGGAAGUGCCUGUGUUGCGCUCUGAGCUGAGGAGGGGCAAAGAAGCUAGAGUCAGUAUCCGCCCGGAGGAGCCCCCAAGACAAAUCCAGACACUUUCCUCUGGUAAUUUGUUCAUUCAUUCAACACUUAUUAGCGCCUGCUGUAUACCAAAGCUAAGUCUGAGCAUCUAGGGUGGAGGAGGGCUGGUAGAAAGAGGACAUCUGAGCGAGGGAACAGACUCAGAAGGUAUUCCUUUCGUGUGAACAUCUAUUCAACACUUAACGCCUACUGUAUACUAAAAAUAGUGCUGGACAUCACGGAGAAUAGAGAAGAAGAGGAAUCAGAGCGUUACGUGUCUCCGCAGUAAAGGGAACAAAGCCAGACACCAGUGCUUUUAGCAUUUGCUCAUUCAUUUACCACUUACUGAAUGCCGGGCCCCUUGUGAAGAGACGCAUCAUAAGAAUCAUAAUAAUCAUGGUAAUAGCUACUACUU